UGGUUCGAUCCUGGCUCAGGACGAACGCUGGCGGCGUGCUUAACACAUGCAAGUCGAACGGGGUGCCUAUGAAGGAGAUUUCGGUCAACGGAUUAGGUUACUUAGUGGCGGACGGGUGAGUAACGCGUGAGGAACCUGCCUUUCAGAGGGGGACAACAGUUGGAAACGACUGCUAAUACCGCAUGACAUAUCAUUAUCGCAUGGUAGUGAUAUCAAAGAUUUAUCGCUGAGAGAUGGCCUCGCGUCUGAUUAGCUGGUUGGUGAGGUAACGGCCCACCAAGGCGACGAUCAGUAGCCGGACUGAGAGGUUGGCCGGCCACAUUGGGACUGAGGUACGGCCCAGACUCCUACGGGAGGCAGCAGUGGGGAAUAUUGGGCAAUGGGCGCAAGCCUGACCCAGCAACGCCGCGUGAAGGAAGAAGGCUUUCGGGUUGUAAACUUCUUUUAAGAGGGAAGAGCAGAAGACGGUACCUCUUGAAUAAGCUCCGGCUAACUACGUGCCAGCAGCCGCGGUAAUACGUAGGGAGCGAGCGUUGUCCGGAUUUACUGGGUGUAAAGGGCGUGUAGCCGGGCUGACAAGUCAGAUGUGAAAUCCCGCGGCUUAACCGCGGAACUGCAUUUGAAACUGUCGGUCUUGAGUAUCGGAGAGGCAGGCGGAAUUCCUAGUGUAGCGGUGAAAUGCGUAGAUAUUAGGAGGAACACCAGUGGCGAAGGCGGCCUGCUGGACGACAACUGACGGUGAGGCGCGAAAGCGUGGGGAGCAAACAGGAUUAGAUACCCUGGUAGUCCACGCUGUAAACGAUGGAUACUAGGUGUGCGGGGACUGACCCCCUGCGUGCCGCAGCUAACGCAAUAAGUAUCCCACCUGGGGAGUACGAUCGCAAGGUUGAAACUCAAAGGAAUUGACGGGGGCCCGCACAAGCGGUGGAUUAUGUGGUUUAAUUCGAAGCAACGCGAAGAACCUUACCAGGGCUUGACAUCCUGCUAACGAGGUAGAGAUACGUCAGGUGCCCUUCGGGGAAAGCAGAGACAGGUGGUGCAUGGUUGUCGUCAGCUCGUGUCGUGAGAUGUUGGGUUAAGUCCCGCAACGAGCGCAACCCUUAUUGUUAGUUGCUACGCAAGAGCACUCUAGCGAGACUGCCGUUGACAAAACGGAGGAAGGUGGGGACGACGUCAAAUCAUCAUGCCCCUUAUGUCCUGGGCUACACACGUAAUACAAUGGCGGUAAACAGAGGGAGGCAAGACCGUGAGGUGGAGCGAACCCCUAAAAGCCGUCCAGUUCAGAUUGCAGUCUGCAACUCGACUGCAUGAAGUCGGAAUCGCUAGUAAUCGCGGAUCAGCAUGCCGCGGUGAAUACGUUCCCGGGCCUUGUACACACCGCCCGUCACACCAUGAGAGUCGGGAACACCCGAAGUCCGUAGCCUAACCGCAAGGGGGGCGCGGCCGAAGGUGGGUUCGAUAAUUGGGGUGAAGUCGUAACAAGGUACCC
rnacentral:rRNA from 1 species